rnacentral:tRNA from 1 species
GGCGCUGUGACGGAGUGGUUAACGUGCAGGACUGCUAAUCCUGUUCCUUCGGGAGCCAGAGUUCGAAUCUCUGCGGCGUCG